rnacentral:rRNA from 1 species
UACGUAGGGUGCAAGCGUUAAUCGGAAUUACUGGGCGUAAAGCGUGCGCAGGCGGUAAUGUAAGACAGAGGUGAAAUCCCCGGGCUCAACCUGGGAACUGCCUUUGUGACUGCAUUGCUAGAGUACGGUAGAGGGGGGUGGAAUUCCGCGUGUAGCAGUGAAAUGCGUAGAUAUGCGAAGGAACACCGAUGGCGAAGGCAGCCUCCUGGACCUGUACUGACGCUCAUGCACGAAAGCACGGGGAGCAAACAGG